CUUCAGGGUUCUUGGGUGUCAUGCAAAUCUAGGUGGGACCUCCAAAUGAAAGAACCUAGCAGGGAAACCCCCACUUGAGUCCUGAGUUGGUGCGCACCCAAGGAAUCACGAGAGACC
rnacentral:pre_miRNA from 7 species